AACUUAUGGUUUUCUUUUUCCUUUCCGUACCGCGUUUGUUUCAUAUAAGGGUUUUGUAGUUGUAGAUUCUAGUUUGUUCAUGUGUUUACUAGAGUUUCUAAAUUACUACGUGCUUCUCAUUUUGUCUGUGUGUGUGUGUGUGUAUGUUUUAAGAUUUCCUUGUCAAUGGGAUCUCUGAGCUGAUUUUUACUCAUUGCAUUGUUAAACUUAGUUUUUUCAAUUGUUUCAUUUUUGUUAAUUUGUUGCUUAUACGUGUAUAGAAAUAGUUGAUUGCCAAAAUAAGUAUAUACAACAGUAUCAUAAUUUUGACAAUUGAUGAUAACUGUCAUAAUUUUGGCCCAAUGGAAUAAGUUUUUAUCUUUUGGCAUGAUCAUUGUCUAAAUUUGGUUCUGUAAAUUUUGGUAGUAAGCUUCUUAUUUUAGUGUCAUUUAUGAGCUGAUUUUUGACAUGUUCUGCGCCCUUUUAGUGUAUGUGUGUGUAACUUUAGGUUGGAGAUCAUGUGAGGGGGAAGCGUGUGGCAUGUUUUUUGAAAUUGUAAUAGACGGGAAAAGGGUAAAGUCAGGGAUUAGAAAAGUAAUUGGGAUUGGAAAAGAGGGAGAAGAGAAUAAAUUUGAGAAUAUUGGAUUCCAACUUGUGAAAAUUUCUUCUUCAGAAAACAUGAAAAUUAGGCAACCAUAUGGAUUAGGGAUUAGAAGAGAAGAGGGGAACAGGGAAGGUUGGGAAUCAGAAGAAGGAAAAUUUUUCUGCAAACCCUUACUCUCUAUGUGAAAGUGAAAUACAGUUUGAGGGUGGGAGAGACAGUGAGAAUGGGCGAGGAGUGGUACACAUAGGAUAUUUUGUGUAUGUGGCAGAAAUAAGAUUAUGUGUCAAGUAGACAAUUUGAGGGUCUAAAUUAUAAGGGUUUCCUACCGCGUAAGCUAUUUAUAAGGGUUUUGUAGUUGUAGAUUCUAGUUUGUUCUUGUGUUUACUAGAGAUUCUAGUAUGAUCAUCCUGGAGAUGAUUUAAGGCAUCUGUUGAUGUUGUCCAAAGAAUUGUAUUCUGUAUCUUUUCAAAUCCCUAUCUCGCCAUACAUUAUUGCUCCGAUGUUUCCGGAUCUGCCUCAGAUUGUGCAAAGGUUUCACAACAUUGUGUGUUUAAAAUUCAGCAACGUUUUGGGUGACCUGGACCAGACUCUGACACUUCUAGCACAAGAACCUAGUCAAAAUCUACAAUAGCUGAGGUCUUUGGUUCUUUCUGACCGACCCACCAUCCCUAGAGCGGGGUUGAUGGCUUUUGGGAAUUCGAUUCCAUUUCUCACUUCACUAGUGUGCUCUAAUGUUGGUAGUAUGUCUAGACAAGACAUCAGUGCAAUAAGUCGGUCAUUUCAGAUGCUUGAAGUCCUUGAUUUAGGUCACCCUAAUCUCUUCGUUGAUGGUGCUCAUCCCAACACCGCUAAGGCUUUGAUCAAUCUCUCCCUCUCUACACCGAGGAUGAGAGAAAUCAAUCUCUCCUCGCAUUCCUACAUCAGUGAUAAUCUGUUUCACAAUUUACUCUACAAUUGGAGACACAACUUAGAAGAAGUCUUCAUUUGUAAUUGCCCCAACAUCACACAUGGGAUAAUCUUUAACUCAUUUUCUUUCCCUGAUGCACCACCUAGGGUGAAGUCUUUGGUUUUAUCCGACACCGGUCUCUCCCAACCAAAUAUUCCGCAGCCAUAUUUUUUGAAUUCUCUAACUACGAUAAAGCUCUUUUCGUGCAAUAUUUCGAAUCAGUUCCUCUCAUCUAUCAAGGUACUCCCGUUGCACACACUUUUGCUUGGGAUACACUUAUCAUGGUUUGUCCGACUUCUUAUCUCGGCGGCGUCAAAUCCGCCAUUUGGACCUUUCCGGUGCUCCCUGGUAUAUCCAUGACGAACAGAUUGAGACUUUAGCUGAUUUAGUUACUGAUAUCAUUUCUAUUAACCUCACUUCUUGUUCUAAACUCACCGAUUAUGCUGUUUACAUACUCAUCACCACUUGCCGUUCUUUGUCCGAGUUAUAUAUGGGUGAUACUAAAGUUGGCGAAGGCAGUGAAACUUUCCCAGAACAAUUGCUCCUCUGUCCUGACAACAACACUCGUCUCCAAUCUUUAAGUUUAUCUCAUCAAAAAUUUUUAAAUGGAGAAGUAAUGCUCAUCAGGAUUGCAUCCAUUUUCAGAAAUUUACACCAUCUUGAUCUGAGUAGGUGCACUGGUAUAUCAGAUCAAGUUAUUGGGGAUGUUUUACGUUUGUGCAGGGAGAUAAGGAGGUUGGAUAUCUCAAAUACUAGCAUAACAUCAUUUCAUAUUGGGUUUGUAGUUCUGAAACUACAACAGUUGAAUAUAUCGGGCACUGCUUUUAAUGAUGAAGCCCUCAUGUUCAUAUCGGAUUGCUGCCCUGCCCUCAAAGUAGUCUUGCUUAAUGCGUGUAAUUCGAUAUCUGAUGUUGGAGUUAUUUAUCUGGUGAAAAGCUGUACCAAACUUCAAAAGAUUGGGCUGAAUAAUUGUGAUAGCUUAUCUCGUUUUCUGGUGGACAUUAUCAUAACUGAAAGACCAACACUGCAUGGCAUCGGGACCCCCAUCAGUUUUGCACUUUCCGAUGAAGUGAAGGUUCGGUACUCCAAUCUAGGAUACCGGCUGGUCUAAUGGACAUAAUGCUGGAUCUCAAGGGUUCAACCCAGACUUGAUUGUUCUCCUCGUUAUUGGUGGGUUGCUGUUGACAUUUCUCAUUGGAAAUUAUGCGGUCUACGUCUAUGCACAGAAGGCCCUCCCUCCCAGAAAAAAGAAGCCAGUCUCAAAAAAGAAGAUGAAAAAGGAGAGGCUGAAGCAAGGAGUCUCUGCACCUGGAGAGUAGAGGCACUGUACUCAAAUGUUCUGUUGAAUGUGGAUUACCUUGUACUUUUUCAAGAAUUCUGGUUCUGUGGUGUCUUGAGUUAACUUUCAUGUUUCCAUCAAGUGUUUUAUUGACAGAAAGUUUAGCUAUAUUAAUUAGUACUUUAGCAAUAUAUUUGAGACAGGUUAUUUGGCAGUUUAGUUAAUCAUUUUUCUUA